rnacentral:rRNA from 1 species
GACAGAGGGGGCAAGCGUUGCUCGGAAUUACUGGGCGUAAAGGGCGCGUAGGCGGGAUGGCAAGUCGGUCGUGAAAUCCCUCGGCUCAACCGAGGAACGUCGAUCGAUACUGCUGUUCUUGAGGAUUGCAGAGGAGACUGGAAUUCCCGGUGUAGCGGUGAAAUGCGCAGAUAUCAGGAGGAACACCGGUGGCGAAGGCGGGUCUCUGGGCCGAUACUGACGCUGAGGAGCGAAAGCGUGGGGAGCAAACAGG